AGGACGAACGCUGGCGGCGUGCUUAACACAUGCAAGUCGAGCGGAAAGGCCCUUCGGGGUACUCGAGCGGCGAACGGGUGAGUAACACGUGAGCAACCUGCCCCUGGCUCUGGGAUAGCCUCCGGAAACGGGGAUUAAUACCGGACAUGACCCUUGACCGCAUGGUUGGGGGUGGAAAGUUUUUUCGGCCAGGGUGGGGCUCGCGGCCUAUCAGCUUGUUGGGGGGUGACGGCCCACCAAGGCGACGACGGGUAGCCC
rnacentral:rRNA from 1 species